GAUGCAGGAGAAUUAUCCACUAUGAUAACUUUACUCAGCUCACGUCCCAGCCGACUCAGAUCCUUCACGUAAUUGCCCCGGUGGAAAACACAGGAUUCUCUAAAUAGCCUUGCCCUGAACACACCCCAGCGAUCCAGUAAGUCGGCUACUGGGUCUGCAUACUUGGCUAGACUUGCUGUGAAGAGAACACAUUCAAAGAGCUCUCCCA
rnacentral:lncRNA from 1 species